rnacentral:rRNA from 1 species
CAUGUCCUUUUGAAUAUAAUUUAAGGUCUAAUCUGCUCAAUGAGGAGUUAAAUUGCCGCGGUAUUUUGACCGUGCAAAGGUAGCAUAAUAAUUAGUUUUUUUAUUGAAAGCUGGAAUGAAUGAUUGGACGAGAAAAUUUCUGUCUCUUUUUGAACUAUUAUUUAAUUUAACUUUUAAGUUAAAAGGCUUAAAUUUGUAUUAAAGACGAGAAGACCCUAUAGAGUUUAAUAAUUAUUUAAUUUUUGAUUAUUUGGUAUUUUUUAAUUUUUAGUUUAUUAAUUAUUUGGUUGGGGUGACUGGAAGAUUUAUUAAACUCUUCUAAUAAUGUUUAAUCAUUUAUUUUUGAAUAGUUUAUCUAUUUUUAAUAAAUUUAAGAUAAAUUACCUUAGGGAUAACAGCGUAAUUUCUCCUUAGAGUUCUUAUUAAUGGAGGAGUUUGCGACCUCGAUGUUGGAUUAAAAUUUAUUUUUGGUGCAGAAGCUAGAAUAUUGAGUCUGUUCGACUCUUAAAAUUUUACAUGAUCUGAGU